GUCUUUGUAGUGUAGUGGUUAUCACGUCCGCCUCACACGCGGAAGGUCGCAGGUUCGAGCCCUGCCAAAGACA
rnacentral:tRNA from 3 species